rnacentral:pre_miRNA from 1 species
UAAUCAGUGGAAGUAAAGUAUGAAGAAAAAGAGAAGAACAACAGGAGGUGAAAUCUCAAAGGAGUGUCAUGAGAACACAGAUCCUAUGGUUUCUUUACAUUUUCAUUGAAACCAUUGAGUUUGUGUUCUCAGGUCACCCCUUUGAAUCUCCCCUGUUCCUUUAUUUUACCUUACCAAAAUUA